UACGUAGGUGGCAAGCGUUGUCCGGAUUUACUGGGCGUAAAGAGCGCGCAGGCGGCUGGUCAAGUCCGAUGUGAAAUCUCCCGGCUCAACUGGGAAACUGCAUCGGAAACUGAUCGGCUUGAAGGUGGGAGAGGGUAGUGGAAUUCCCGGUGUAGUGGUGAAAUGCGUAGAUAUCGGGAGGAACACCAGUGGCGAAGGCGACUACCUGGCCCAUUCUUGACGCUGAGGCGCGAAAGCUAGGGGAGCGAACGGGAUUAGAAACCCCCGUAGUCC
rnacentral:rRNA from 1 species